AGCAGCCGCGGUAAUUCCAGCUCCAAUAGCGUAUAUUAAAGUUGUUGCAGUUAAAAAGCUCGUAGUUGAAUUUCGGGAUUAAUUUAUUGGUCGUGCUAUUGUACGUACUGGUAUUAUUGAUUCCUACCUUCUGACGAACCAUGAUGUCAUUAAUUUGGUGUCAUGGGGAAUCAGGACUGUUACUUUGAAAAAAUUAGAGUGUUUAAAGCAGGCUCACGCUUGAAUACAUUAGCAUGGAAUAACGAAAUAGGACGUUUGAUUCUAUUUUGUUGGUUUCUAGGAUCGACGUA
rnacentral:rRNA from 1 species